rnacentral:lncRNA from 1 species
CUGGGAUACGGACGAGAGACUCGUGGAACCAAGCGGAGGUGAAGGGGCACCGGCGACCACAGGGCUUUAGCGCGGACCGUCCCCUACCCCCACCCGCCCUCCUCUCCCCUCAGACGGUUACCUGCCCUUCCGGCCGCUGCUCAUUAACGGGGCCGGUAUGUCCGCCGCCCGCGGCCCCUGCCUGCUCUGGUUGCGCCCCCGCGGGCUGGGGAGGGGAAGGGGGGCGGAGGAGGAGGGGAGCCGUUCGCGCUGUGUCUGGCUGGUCCCGGGGAGAUCGCAGCUCAGGCGGGGGGGAGGGGUCGGGAGUCGGAAGGAGAGGGCGGCGGGGGGGGGGUCGCUGGGUCUCGGCUCCUCCUCGUUUGCUUGGUCCCCGCUCAGCUCCCCGCAGCCAUCGGGAAGCGAGAGCCUGGGCGCGGUAACCUCCGCCCCGCCCGUGCUGCCCGGCCGGGAAACCCCGGCUCGGCUCGGCUCGGCGCUCCGCCCCGCCCCGCCACCACCCCCGGCACCGCCCCACCCUGCCCCCCUCGCACCUCCGGGUGGCGGCAGGCCUAGGCCCCGCUGCGCUGGAGGCACCGCUGUCUCGACGGUGACACGCCAGCACGGCCGGGAGGGCCGUGGCUACGACUGGACCUCACAUGAGCCAGGCAGGGCAGGUAUUACCAAGACAGAAUCGUUUCACGUCAGCACUCAUGGACUAAAGCUUCAAUACUUAAUGAUACAAAAGUUUGUGGCCAUGAUGACUAGAGAAUCCUUUAAGCUCAACCAGUAGUGACUUUCAGAAGAAAUGUAUUGUAAACAUCUUUGCCUGUAAGGUCUAUAAUUUCUUACAAGACGAUGUGAUACAGAGAUGCCUGAACUCUACUUAUCCAUUGCAUGUCUAAGUACCUGCAUCUGGCAUUCACAACAUGAGAAAACUGUAGGAAAAAGUGAGGGGCUUAUCUUCCAAACACAUCUGGCAAGAGCUCCCUGUGUAUUUUUUAAACAAUUGUUUUAAGCCAUAAAAUUUGUGUUAACACCAUGACUUGUUUAUUAAUAAACUUUGCAAAGAAAGACUUUC